CCUACGGGAGGCAGCAGUGGGGGAUAUUGCACAAUGGGGGAAACCCUGAUGCAGCGACGCCGCGUGGGUGAAGAAGCGCCUCGGCGCGUAAAGCCCUGUCAGCAGGGAAGAAAAUGACGGUACCUGAAGAAGAAGCCCCGGCUAACUACGUGCCAGCAGCCGCGGUAAUACGUAGGGGGCAAGCGUUAUCCGGAUUUACUGGGUGUAAAGGGGGCGCAGACGGCGAUGCAAGCCAGGAGUGAACGCCCGGGGCCCAACCCCGGGACUGCCCUUGGAACUGCGUGGCUAGAGUGCAGGAGGGGCAAGCGGAAUUCCUGGUGUAGCGGUGAAAUGCGUAGAUAUCAGGAGGAACACCGGUGGCGAAGGCGGCCUGCUGGACUGCAACUGACGUUGAGGCCCGAAAGCGUGGGGAGCAAACAGGAUUAGAUACCCUUGUAGUC
rnacentral:rRNA from 1 species